ACACCGACGGCGACGAACUUCGCCUUUUGGUGUGUGCGUGUGGUUCUCUCGCUGCCAGCCCAGCCGCGUUAGCGUCGUCCCUCAUUCCGCCCUCAAUGAGCACCACGGCGUAUGCCUUGGUCGCAAACGAAAGGCAGUACCCUCUCCAGGUGGGGAAGAAUGUAGUCGGCCGCAGUAGCGUCCCUGUAGAGGGCGUCUCCUUCAUCAACUUGGAAUCGCCGCUGGCAGCGAUCAGCCGCAUGCAAGCGUUCGUAGACAUCGGCGCCAACGGCGAUGCGUGGAUCAGCGACUGCAAUAGCACCAACGGCACCUUCCUUAGCAUACGCCCCGGGCCGGGCAUUCGACUCGAGGCAAAUCGCUACUACCAGCUAUCGCCGGGAUGCCGCAUUGUGUUUGGGGACGUGGUGUGCACUUUCGAGACGCUGAGCGAGGCACUGCAGGCGCCGGAGCACCCAGAGCACCCUCUUACGUCUCUCUCUCUCCCCACACGCAAGACGGAGUCCCUGGGUGUCAUCGAUGCCUUCACCGACAGCGCGGCCAAGACCACCCCGCUAAGGCAUCCGUCAAAGCAGGCCAACGCGCACCGGAGUAACGUUCCCUACCUCGACGAAAGUGGAAGCCUCUCGCGGGAGCCUGCUGCGUUGCGUGAAACAGUCUCCACAACGAAGAAAGCCCCACGCCGCGAGCGACGAGAGCCGACAGCGCCGUCGCCACCGCUAAAGCGGACCAAGGUAGAGUCUGCGGCACCGUCCUCGUCUCUCAAGGUAGAGACCGCCGCCACUGCGAAAGCCACGACAGCCGCACGAGCACAUGCGGCACGGCCACAUGUGUGUCUGACGGGGAUGGACAGCGAUGAACGGGCGGCCGUUACAAAGCGAGUGCGUGAGCUGAAGGGCCGUGUCGUGGAUGACAUCACCAAAGCAAAUCUCCUCGUCGUAGCAGCACCGCCGGUCCGAACACCAAAGUUCAUCGUUGCCGUGGCACGGGGCAUUCCGGUGGUGUCGGUAGAUUACAUCUGUAACCGGAGGGCCGCGCUCGACGACGCGCGCCAUCAUAUCGUGGGUCUCAAGACAGACCAGCACACCUACACGGCAGCAGAGCUGAAGAAGGUGAUUUAUCGAAAAGAUGCAUCCCCACUUCUGCAGGGUGUUUCGUUCAACAUCGCUGCGUUGUCCACCAAGACGAAGAGUGUGGCGGCGGAGAUCAUCUCCUCCUCGGGGGGAGAGGUGGUGAGCACCAAAAAGGGCGGCGGCACAGCCCUAACAGACGAACAGCUCGACAAGCUCUACGACUCCAUCCUGCGUGGUAAGGUGUCCGACGUGUUGUAGUGUGCAAUCGCACAGACGCCCGGCAACGAGAGAGAGAGAGAGAGAGAUCCAGUGUUCUCGACAAGCACCGCAUCAUCACGUCACGCAUAGAUACGUGCAACACAAGCGUUGCGCAUUUCACGAAACAAACGCGCGGAAGAACUGUCGUGUCGUUCCCCAAUGUGGUGAUGCGCUUUUGCCGGUUCUCGAAUGUGAUGCUGGAGGCGCCAGCAGGAAGCUGAUCGCAGUCUCUUUGAAUCUGUGCGCAUACUUAUCGCCCCGCGCCUGGGGUGACCGGCGCGGCACCUUGCGCGGUGACGUCGGCUGCACCGAGAGGCCGCCGAGUAGUCUCAUGAUUUCUCUCUCGAUCACUUCUCUUUCAUGACCGCCACUGCCGUGCGUCACAGCCCCCGUCAGUGCUUCGGGGCAGCCGUUGUGCGUCGACUUGAGCCAUCUCACUUCAUUUCUCUUCGCUGCCGCGCACGUGCCGUUGCCUCACCGUUUCUAUUCCUCAAUCGCGACCCUCUCCUCUCUCUCUGCUGUGUUUCUCUUCGCUUCUGCCGCCGCCACUUGGGGUGCGCGCCAUCACUGGAGUACUGUACACGUCGGCAAG
rnacentral:misc_RNA from 1 species